rnacentral:rRNA from 1 species
CAGGUUUACCUGUGUGACUGCGUACCUUUUGUAUAAUGGGUCAGCGACUUAUAUUCUGUAGCAAGGUUAACCGUAUAGGGGAGCCGGAGGGAAACCGAGUCUUAACCGGGCGUUAAGUUGCAGGGUAUAGACCCGAAACCCGGUGAUCUAGCCAUGGGCAGGUUGAAGGUUGGGUAACACUAACUGGAGGACCGAACCGACUAAUGUUGAAAAAUUAGCGGAUGACCUGUGGCUGGGGGUGAAAGGCCAAUCAAACCGGGAGAUAGCUGGUUCUCCCCGAAAGCUAUUUAGGUAGCGCCUCGUGAAUUCAUCUCCGGGGGUAGAGCACUGUUUCGGCUAGGGGGCCAUCCCGGCUUACCAACCCGAUGCAAACUGCGAAUACCGGAGAAUGUUAUCACGGGAGACACACGGCGGGUGCUAACGUCCGUCGUGAAGAGGGAAACAACCCAGACCGCCAGCUAAGGUCCCAAAGUCAUGGUUAAGUGGGAAACGAUGUGGGAAGGCCCAGACAGCCAGGAUGUUGGCUUAGAAGCAGCCAUCAUUUAAAGAAAGCGUAAUAGCUCACUGGUCGAGUCGGCCUGCGCGGAAGAUGUAACGGGGCUAAACCAUGCACCGAAGCUGCGGCAGCGACACUGUGUGUUGUUGGGUAGGGGAGCGUUCUGUAAGCCUGUGAAGGUGUGUCGUGAGGCAUGCUGGAGGUAUCAGAAGUGCGAAUGCUGACAUAAGUAACGAUAAAGCGGGUGAAAAGCCCGCUCGCCGGAAGACCAAGGGUUCCUGUCCAACGUUAAUCGGGGCAGGGUGAGUCGACCCCUAAGGCGAGGCCGAAAGGCGUAGUCGAUGGGAAACGGGUUAAUAUUCCCGUACUUGGUGUUACUGCGAAGGGGGGACGGAGAAGGCUAUGUUGGCCGGGCGACGGUUGUCCCGGUUUAAGCGUGUAGGUGUGUGUUCCAGGUAAAUCCGGUUCACUUUAACACUGAGGCGUGACGACGAGGCACUACGGUGCUGAAGCAACAAAUGCCCUGCUUCCAGGAAAAGCCUCUAAGCAUCAGGUAACAUCAAAUCGUACCCCAAACCGACACAGGUGGUCAGGUAGAGAAUACCAAGGCGCUUGAGAGAACUCGGGUGAAGGAACUAGGCAAAAUGGUGCCGUAACUUCGGGAGAAGGCACGCUGACACGUAGGUGAAGUGAUUUACUCAUGGAGCUGAAGUCAGUCGAAGAUACCAGCUGGCUGCAACUGUUUAUUAAAAACACAGCACUGUGCAAACACGAAAGUGGACGUAUACGGUGUGACGCCUGCCCGGUGCCGGAAGGUUAAUUGAUGGGGUCAGCGCAAGCGAAGCUCCUGAUCGAAGCCCCGGUAAACGGCGGCCGUAACUAUAACGGUCCUAAGGUAGCGAAAUUCCUUGUCGGGUAAGUUCCGACCUGCACGAAUGGCGUAAUGAUGGCCAGGCUGUCUCCACCCGAGACUCAGUGAAAUUGAACUCGCUGUGAAGAUGCAGUGUACCCGCGGCAAGACGGAAAGACCCCGUGAACCUUUACUAUAGCUUGACACUGAACAUUGAGCCUUGAUGUGUAGGAUAGGUGGGAGGCUUUGAAGUGUGGACGCCAGUCUGCAUGGAGCCGACCUUGAAAUACCACCCUUUAAUGUUUGAUGUUCUAACGUGGACCCGUAAUCCGGGUUGCGGACAGUGUCUGGUGGGUAGUUUGACUGGGGCGGUCUCCUCCUAAAGAGUAACGGAGGAGCACGAAGGUUGGCUAAUCCUGGUCGGACAUCAGGAGGUUAGUGCAAUGGCAUAAGCCAGCUUGACUGCGAGCGUGACGGCGCGAGCAGGUGCGAAAGCAGGUCAUAGUGAUCCGGUGGUUCUGAAUGGAAGGGCCAUCGCUCAACGGAUAAAAGGUACUCCGGGGAUAACAGGCUGAUACCGCCCAAGAGUUCAUAUCGACGGCGGUGUUUGGCACCUCGAUGUCGGCUCAUCACAUCCUGGGGCUGAAGUAGGUCCCAAGGGUAUGGCUGUUCGCCAUUUAAAGUGGUACGCGAGCUGGGUUUAGAACGUCGUGAGACAGUUCGGUCCCUAUCUGCCGUGGGCGCUGGAGAACUGAGGGGGGCUGCUCCUAGUACGAGAGGACCGGAGUGGACGCAUCACUGGUGUUCGGGUUGUCAUGCCAAUGGCACUGCCCGGUAGCUAAAUGCGGAAGAGAUAAGUGCUGAAAGCAUCUAAGCACGAAACUUGCCCCGAGAUGAGUUCUCCCUGAGACUUAGAGUCUCCUGAAGGAACGUUGAAGACGACGACGUUGAUAGGCCGGGUGUGUAAGCGCAGCGAUGCGUUGAGCUAACCGGUACUAAUGAACCGUGAGGCUUAACCUUACAACGCCGAAG